rnacentral:lncRNA from 1 species
AAAACGUCCCUGAUUAUCGGCAUUGAAAAACUGAACCAUCGUGAGAGGCGGCGAAAUGAGGUUUGUGACCUUGGGCAGAGUGGAGAGUGGCGGCGCUGGGUAGGGCAGCGAAGAGUAGAGAAGGCUGCGCUGGAAACAUGAAGACCUCCAGAAAUCUGGCAGAGAAACACCUGUUCCUCUGGCGGUGGCAUGAACAAAGCGCGAUCUCUCGCAACUUCCAGGCUCAACACCGCACUAAAAACCCCAAACAA